UACGAAGGGGGCUAGCGUUGCUCGGAAUCACUGGGCGUAAAGCGCACGUAGGCGGCUUACUAAGUCAGGGGUGAAAUCCUGGAGCUCAACUCCAGAACUGCCUUGAUACUGGUGAGCUUGAGUCCGGAAGAGGUGAGUGGAACUGCGAGUGUAGAGGUGAAAUUCGUAGAUAUUCGCAAGAACACCAGUGGCGAAGGCGGCUCACUGGUCCGGUACUGACGCUGAGGUGCGAAAGCGUGGGGAGCAAACAGG
rnacentral:rRNA from 1 species